rnacentral:rRNA from 1 species
UGUUUUCCCCCGCUGCUAAGCAUAUCAAUAAGCGGAGGAAAAGAAACCAACAGGGAUUGCCUUAGUAGCGGCGAGUGAAGCGGCAAAAGCUCAAAUUUGAAAUCUGGCUCUUUCAGAGUCCGAGUUGUAAUUUGAAGAAGGUAUCUUUGGGUCUGGCUCUUGUCUAUGUUUCUUGGAACAGAACGUCACAGAGGGUGAGAAUCCCGUGCGAUGAGAUGAUCCAGGCCUAUGUAAAGUUCCUUCGAAGAGUCGAGUUGUUUGGGAAUGCAGCUCUAAGUGGGUGGUAAAUUCCAUCUAAAGCUAAAUAUUGGCGAGAGACCGAUAGCGAACAAGUACAGUGAUGGAAAGAUGAAAAGAACUUUGAAAAGAGAGUGAAAAAGUACGUGAAAUUGUUGAAAGGGAAGGGCUUGAGAUCAGACUUGGUAUUUUGUAUGUUACUUCUUCGGGGGUGGCCUCUACAGUUUAUCGGGCCAGCAUCAGUUUGGGCGGUAGGAGAAUUGCGUUGGAAUGUGGCACGGCUUCGGUUGUGUGUUAUAGCCUUCGUCGAUACUGCCAGCCUAGACUGAGGACUGCGGUUUAUACCUAGGAUGUGUCACACUUGCUUGGGAG